rnacentral:rRNA from 1 species
CAAUAGCGUAUAUUAAAGUUGUUGCAGUUAAAAAGCUCGUAGUUGGAUUUCUGGUGGGAGCGAUCGGUCUGGCGCUUAGCGCGAGUACUUGCAUCGUCUCCGGCCAUCCUUGGGGAGAGUCUGUCUGGCAUUAGGUUGUCGGGCAGAGGAUCCUCAUCGUUUACUGUGAAAAAAUUAGAGUGUUCAAAGCAGGCUUAUGCCGUUGAAUAUAUUAGCAUGGAAUAAUAAGAUAGGACUUUGGUACUAUUUUGUUGGUUUGCGCACCAAAGUAAUGAUUAAUAGGGACAGUUGGGGGCAUUUGUAUUUCGUCGCUAGAGGUGAAAUUCUUAGAUUGACGAAAGACAAACUGCUGCGAAAGCGUCUGCCAAGGAUGUUUUCAUUGA